rnacentral:rRNA from 1 species
GAUGAACGCUGACAGAAUGCUUAACACAUGCAAGUCAACUGUGGCGGACGGGUGAGUAACGCGUAAAGAACUUGCCUCACGGAUAGGGACAACAUUUGGAAACGAAUGCUAAUACCUGAUACUGUGAGAGAGCUUUGCGUCCCAUUAGCUAGUGGGAGAGGUAACGGCUCACCAAGGCGAUGAUGGGUAGCCGGCCUGAGAGGGUGAUAGGCCACAAGGGGAAUGAGAAACGGCCAUUACGCCUACGGGGGGCAUGAGUGGGGAAUAUUGGACAAGGUACCAAAGUCUGAUGCAGCCAUUCGGUGUGUACGAUGAAGUUUUCGGAAUGUAAAGUGCUUUCAGUUGGGAAGCGGUACCAACAGAAGAAGUGACGGCUAAAUACGUGCCAGCAGCCGCGGUAAUUC